CGCGGCUCCCGGAACCAGCCGGCGCGGGCCUCCUCGCCCCGCCGCGGGCGGCGCUGCCCGCUCCGGUCGGCCGCGGCCGGGGGCUGGGACUGUGGCUGGCGCUGCUCUCGAGUUGGCGUGCGGGGCCGGGCUCCGUGGGUGCGAGGUUCCGGGGCAGGCCCCGCUGCUCCGGCUGCCGCUUUCUUGGGUCGGGCCAGUUCCGCAGGAGCGUCGGCUCCGGCCCUCUUUCCUGGGCGGUGUGGGGUCAUUGCUGCUCCAGUGUCGCUGAGAUCCGAGUGUGAGGCCCGUCUGUCUUGGCGUGUGCGCCCGUGCCCCAGUGCCCUCGCCGCUUGCUUCGCCCCCUCUGCGUCCCUUCCACUCGUGCUUCCUUCAGAGUGUGCAGCCGGGUGCCGGCGAGCUCCGUACUCUGGGAAAGGGCACGCUGUACUUUGAAUUGGUCCUGGAACACGCCAGAUUACACCAGGAAGAGACAGGAGGGGCACUCAUUUGUGGAAGUUAAUUGGUUGUGUUGGCUGCUGCGAUGAUGGUUAUGAUGAUGGUGAUGGUGAUGAUAAUGAUGAUGAUGAUGAUGAUCAAAAACCUAGAGGUUAACAGGAACUUCCCUAGGAGGUGGUGUGGCUCUGACUCCCGAGUCCAUCUCUUUCCUUCAUACCAAGCUGCCUCCCAGCUAUUCACAUAGUAAG
rnacentral:lncRNA from 1 species